rnacentral:rRNA from 1 species
UACGAAGGGGGCUAGCGUUGCUCGGAAUCACUGGGCGUAAAGCGCACGUAGGCGGGUCUUUAAGUCAGGGGUGAAAUCCUGGAGCUCAACUCCAGAACUGCCUUUGAUACUGAGGAUCUUGAGUUCGGGAGAGGUGAGUGGAACUGCGAGUGUAGAGGUGAAAUUCGUAGAUAUUCGCAAGAACACCAGUGGCGAAGGCGGCUCACUGGCCCGAUACUGACGCUGAUGCACGAAAGCGUGGGGAGCAAACAGG